rnacentral:rRNA from 1 species
GGAAAAGAAACUAACAAGGAUUCCCCUAGUAGCGGCGAGCGAAGCGGGAAGAGCUCAAAUUUAUAAUCUGGCACCUUCGGUGUCCGAGUUGUAAUCUCUAGAAAUGUUUUCCGCGUUGGACCGCACACAAGUCUGUUGGAAUACAGCGGCAUAGUGGUGAGACCCCCGUAUAUGGUGCGGACGCCCAGCGCUUUGUGAUACAUUUUCGAAGAGUCGAGUUGUUUGGGAAUGCAGCUCAAAUUGGGUGGUAAAUUCCAUCUAAAGCUAAAUAUUGGCGAGAGACCGAUAGCGAACAAGUACCGUGAGGGAAAGAUGAAAAGCACUUUGGAAAGAGAGUUAACAGUACGUGAAAUUGUUGGAAGGGAAACGCUUGAAGUCAGACUUGCUUGCCGAGCAAUCGGUUUGCAGGCCAGCAUCAGUUUUCCGGGAUGGAUAAUGGUAGAGAGAAGGUAGCAGUUUCGGCUGUGUUAUAGCUCUCUGCUGGAUACAUCUUGGGGGACUGAGGAACGCAGUGUGCCUUUGGCGGGGGUUUCGACCUCUCACAC